rnacentral:lncRNA from 1 species
AACUUUUCUACUAUCAUCCCAAAAAAACCAAACUCUGCCUUACGUAAAGUUGAAUCUUCACCUCUGGGUUCGAGUGGCAUUUCACCCCUAACCACAACUUGUCCGCUAAUUCUUCAACAUCAGUCGGUUCGGACCUCUACUUAGUUUCACCCAAGCUUCAUCCUGGUCAUGGAUAGAUCACCUAGGUUCGGGUCCAUAAGCAGUGACAAUUGCCCUAUGAAGACUCACUUUCGCUACGGCUCCGAUGGGUUCCCUUAACCAAGCCACUGCCUAUAAGUCGCCGGCUCAUUCCACACAUACCUUUCUCACCACCUCCAAAGUCUUAAAGAGUUUAUUUUCAUAAGUUGGGGUUAGCAUACUUG